rnacentral:rRNA from 1 species
ACGAACGCUGGCGGCGUGCUUAACACCUGCAAGUCGAACGGAAAGGCCCUGCUUGCAGGGUACUCGAGUGGCGAACGGGUGAGUAACACGUGGGUGAUCUGCCCUGCACUUCGGGAUAAGCUUGGGAAACUGGGUCUAAUACCGGAUAGGACCGCACUUUAGUGUGUGUGGUGGAAAGUUUUUUCGGUGUAGGAUGAGCUCGCGGCCUAUCAGCUUGUUGGUGGGGUAAUGGCCUACCAAGGCGGCGACGGGUAGCCGGCCUGAGAGGGUGUACGGCCACAUUGGGACUGAGAUACGGCCCAGACUCCUACGGGAGGCAGCAGUGGGGAAUAUUGCACAAUGGGCGCAAGCCUGAUGCAGCGACGCCGCGUGGGGGAUGAAGGCCUUCGGGUUGUAAACUCCUUUCGCUAGGGACGAAGCUUUUUGUGACGGUACCUAGAUAAGAAGCACCGGCUAACUACGUG